rnacentral:rRNA from 1 species
UAUGCGAAAAACAAACCUUAGCUAGCAGUAUCCUGAGUAGGGCGGGACACGAGGAAUCCUGUCUGAAUCCGGGUCGACCACGAUCCAACCCUAAAUACUAAUACCAGAUCGAUAGUGCACAAGUACCGUGAGGGAAAGGUGAAAAGAACUGAGGUGAUCAGAGUGAAAUAGAACCUGAAACCAUUUGCUUACAAUCAUUCAGAGCCCUAUGUAGCAAUACAGGGUGAUGGACUGCCUUUUGCAUAAUGAGCCUGCGAGUUGUGGUGUCUGGCAAGGUUAAGCAAACGCGAAGCCGUAGCGAAAGCGAGUCUGAAUAGGGCGCUUAGUCAGAUGCUGCAGACCCGAAACGAAGUGAUCUAUCCAUGAGCAAGUUGAAGCUAGUGUAAGAACUAGUGGAGGACUGAACCCAUAGGCGUUGAAAAGCCCCGGGAUGACUUGUGGAUAGGGGUGAAAGGCCAAUCAAACUUCGUGAUAGCUGGUUCUCUCCGAAAUAUAUUUAGGUAUAGCGUUGUGUCGUAAUAUAAGGGGGUAGAGCACUGAAUGGGCUAGGGCAUACACCAAUGUACCAAACCCUAUCAAACUCCGAAUACCUUAUAUGUAAUCACAGCAGUCAGGCGGCGAGUGAUAAAAUCCGUCGUCAAGAGGGAAACAACCCAG